GAGUCAGAGAUACAGAUUUCUACACUUUCAAAGAAAACUUGAUUGCAACCAGGAAGUUUGUGCAUUUUUGAAGGCAUACUGAAUUGCAGUGCCUGAAUGGGUUAAUAAGGCGAAGAAUAAAAAGAAGGGAGAAGAGAAAAAGGUAUGAAUUUUACAUGUGCUUUAAACUAAUGUAUUCAACCACAUGUUUAGACUUCUUGUUAUAAUUUUAUUGACUUUCUCUUUAUAUCGGAAUAUAAUUUUUAAUAGCUAAUAGCAAAUUGCAAAACAGCGAGUUUUCUCAAGUGCCUUUUCUUCCCCGAGAUCCUCAUCUUAGAAUGAUCAGCGGUUUAUCAGAAGAACUGGACCCUGAUUUCACAGCCUCAUACAAAGCCAGGCCGUUCUUGAACCAAACAAACAAAGGGGGUAUUCUUCAGGGAGACCAUUCACAUGGAUUGACAUCCCAAUGUUCUCAUAAUGAGCAGUGUGCACUUCUGUGAGGACGCUGCAGUAUGUUGCUGAGACGAGGAUCCUGUCAAAUACCAUCUGAAUCUAAAGAAAUACCGGAAUGAUCUAUUUCCAGCAUCUCCAG